UGCAAGUCGAGCGAAUGAAGAGGAGCUUGCUCCUCUGAUUUAGCGGCGGACGGGUGAGUAACACGUGGGUAAUCUGCCUGUAAGACGGGGAUAACUCCGGGAAACCGGGGCUAAUACCGGAUAAUAAGAGAAGAAGCAUUUCUUCUUUUUGAAAGUCGGCCUCUCGCUGACACUUACAGAUGAGCCCGCGGCGCAUUAGCUAGUUGGUGAGGUAACGGCUCACCAAGGCGACGAUGCGUAGCCGACCUGAGAGGGUGAUCGGCCACACUGGGACUGAGACACGGCCCAGACUCCUACGGGAGGCAGCAGUAGGGAAUCUUCGGCAAUGGGCGAAAGCCUGACCGAGCAACGCCGCGUGAGCGAUGAAGGCCUUCGGGUCGUAAAGCUCUGUUGUUAGAGAAGAACAAGUACGAGAGUAACUGCUCGUACCUUGACGGUACCUAACCAGAAAGCCACGGCUAACUACGUGCCAGCAGCCGCGGUAAUACGUAGGUGGCAAGCGUUAUCCGGAAUUAUUGGGCGUAAAGCGCGCGCAGGCGGUCUCUUAAGUCUGAUGUGAAAGCCCACGGCUCAACCGUGGAGGGUCAUUGGAAACUGGGAGACUUGAGUGCAGGAGAGAAAAGUGGAAUUCCACGUGUAGCGGUGAAAUGCGUAGAGAUGUGGAGGAACACCAGUGGCGAAGGCGGCUUUUUGGCCUGUAACUGACGCUGAGGCGCGAAAGCGUGGGGAGC
rnacentral:rRNA from 1 species